rnacentral:rRNA from 1 species
GAUGAACGCUGGCGGCGUGCCUAAUACAUGCAAGUCGAGCGAACGGACGAGAAGCUUGCUUCUCUGAUGUUAGCGGCGGACGGGUGAGUAACACGUGGAUAACCUACCUAUAAGACUGGGAUAACUUCGGGAAACCGGAGCUAAUACCGGAUAAUAUUUUGAACCGCAUGGUUCAAAGGAGAAAGACGGUCUUGCUGUCACUUAUAGAUGGAUCCGCGCUGCAUUAGCUAGUUGGUAAGGUAACGGCUUACCAAGGCAACGAUGCAUAGCCGACCUGAGAGGGUGAUCGGCCACACUGGAACUGGGACACGGUCCAGACUCCUACGGGAGGCAGCAGUAGGGAAUCUUCCGCAAUGGGCGAAAGCCUGACGGAGCAACGCCGCGUGAGUGAUGAAGGCCCUCGGAUCGUAAAACUCUGUUAUUAGGGAAGAACAUAUGUGUAAGUAACUGUGCACAUCUUGACGGUAACUAAUCAGAAAGCCACGGCUAACUACGUG